AACCGUUUACCCAAAUAGACCCAGAACCGGAACCGGAUACAGCCUUACCUGAGAUUAUGUACUUUUUCUAAUUUGAAUCUUGAUUCUCCUAGCGGGAGAAACGGAUUGGGAGAAAUAGAAGAAUCUGAAGUUAGAAAGCAUUACCUCAUCUGCAAUUGUUUGGAGAUUGUGAGUUUUACAUUCCAGCAGCCUUCAAUAAGAAUGAAUCGGGGAAAAGGAUCUGGGGGAAAUAGAAACGAAAUUAAAGAAAUUGAGGGAUAUACGAGACUUAUGGAGGGAAAUUAAAGGAAUUGGGGAAAUUUUGGAGGGAAACUAAAAACGAGAGGGGAAUAACAGGAUGUAAAAAAUGAACAUUGAC
rnacentral:lncRNA from 1 species